UACGUAGGUGGCAAGCGUUGUCCGGAAUUAUUGGGCGUAAAGCGCGCGCAGGUGGUUUCUUAAGUCUGAUGUGAAAGCCCACGGCUCAACCGUGGAGGGUCAUUGGAAACUGGGGAACUUGAGUGCAGGAGAGAAGAGUGGAAUUCCACGUGUAGCGGUGAAAUGCGUAGAGAUGUGGAGGAACACCAGUGGCGAAGGCGACUCUUUGGCCUGUAACUGACACUGAGGCGCGAAAGCGUGGGGAGCAAACCGG
rnacentral:rRNA from 1 species